rnacentral:lncRNA from 1 species
UUGUCCCUUCUCUUUAUGAAAUCCAACUAUUUCAUAAUGUUUUUUCGGUGAUUAGAAACUCAUUCUACAUACAAACCUUGUAAGGCAAAGCUUUCUUCAGCAAAUCAUCAACUUUGAAAUCUGAUUCCACAUUCAAAUUCUUUCUGCAUCGGCAACCACUUCUCUUUAUAACAUUUAACCGUUUCGUAACCUUUUUCCAUUCCUUUCUUGUAAUUGUUUACCUAAACGACAAGAUAUCUAAUAUGUCUGUUGCGCCAGAUGGAAGGGGAAUCUUUCUAAUACCACAUGAACGACACCUCA